rnacentral:rRNA from 1 species
CCCGAGUAAAGUGGCGCACGGGUGAAUAACACGUGACUAACCUACCCUGGAGUGGGGAAUAACUUCGAGAAAUCGAGGCUAAUACCGCAUAACACCUACGGGUCAAAGGAGCAAUUCGCUUCAGGAGGGGGUCGCGGCAGAUUAGCUAGUUGGCGGGGUAAUGGCCCACCAAGGCAGUGAUCUGUAUCCGGCCUGAGAGGGCGCACGGACACACUGGAACUGAAACACGGUCCAG